rfam:Marine bacterium AO1-C Bin2_contig__7A_len_885938_cov_106.412_ID_13, whole genome shotgun sequence.
UAAGCGGCUUUUUUCAAAGCCACCAUAAGUAUCUGAUGGGGAUAC